AACACUGUUAACCUGCGGUACCUGCGGAAGGAUCAUUAACGAAUGGUCUUGGUACCUUCCAAACCCCUCAAACCAGUGGACAUGAAAAAAUGUGCUUCGGCGCUCCGGCGCCGCUUUUAUGCUGUAACUCUGUCGUUUGUGUCUGAAUGUAAAGCAAAGAAUCUAAAACUUUUAACAACGGAUCU
rnacentral:misc_RNA from 1 species